CACCUUCGUCUUCUGGCGCCGGGUGCAGCUCGUAGAAGCCGUCGGCGAGACGCAGCUCUACAUGAAUGCAAUGCAUUGGUUAGCAUUUAGACGGUUAUUUCAACAGCAACACUUGCAAGUUUGAGCCCAGAAACUUGCGGCAAGUUACAGGAGGGUGGGGAGGUUCGCUUGAGUUGGUGGGGAUCAAGAUAUAAGGGUCGGAUAGGAAGGAACUUAUGAUCUGACCCUUAAUCUAGAGGAAUACAUGUGCUAGGGGUCCUCAGACUUAACGCUGAAAAGUCCCCAAGUUUUACACAUACACCCUCGGUUCAAGGAAAAAGAUUCAGCUGAGCCCUCGGGCGAGGCGGAGAAAGGUCAGCGAAACAGACAAGGUCGGGCGAGACGGAACCGGGGUCGGGCGGAUAGGAGGGGUCGGACGAGGCGAACAAAGGGUCGGUAGCUUACCUUCGUCUUACAGAUGAGGCAUGGGGUCGGGAAAGAACAGGCUUGGGCGGAAAGACUAAGGCUUGGGACAGCGGCGAGGAUGUCCGAUGGUACUCCGGCGGCGGUGACGCUUCUUGUGGAUCACAAGUAAGCUCUUGUGCAGCACGGGGAGCAGUGGCUGGUGGAUUGGGGAAGGUGGUGUUUGAGCGGAGAGGAGAGUUCCUCAGACUUAGGCGGUGGCGCUGUGAGCACAAACAGGGAGCAAACGGGAGGGCAGCGAUGGCAAAGGGGGACUCCGGCGGGGCUCCGGCAUUCCCUUUUUAUAGCUGCGCGGAAGAGAGAAGGGGGAGCGGUGCGAAGGUCGGGGAAGAAGCGAUGGAGUGCUCUGCCGGGGCGGCGAUUGAGCGACGAGGGUGGUGGAGCAGGACUUCGGGGAGGACACCGGCGGUCAUUGGGCACCGAUGACAGGGUGGCGCAGGCGCGGGUUUGCCGGUGGUUGAGAUUUGGCGGAGGCGGGCGUCGUCGUGCGGUGGAUCUGAUGGAAGUGACCGCGGAAACGGCGCUAGAAACGAGGGCGCACAGGUGAGAAGACAGGCGGCUGCGGUCGCGCGGGCAAGCGCGGAGCAACAGAUUGUCGGGGCGGAGCUCUGACAGGGCGGGAAAAGGAGCUGUCGCUGCCGUGGUCUGGGUUGGCGGAGGAGGAAUCGUCGCGUAGCGAGGACUGGGGCGGCACGACUGUGGAGGGGCGACGGAAAAGACGGGCGGCAUCGGGCUCUGCAGCCGGGAUCUGGCAAUGUGAUGAUGGGCGCGGGUGGCGAGGUGCUGCAGAAAGAGUAGCAGAGGAGCUUCCGCUGCGAUUGGGGAAGAGGGCGCGAGAAUCCAUCCGGUCGUGGCCGGCGACGAGGCGGAGCGGCGGGCGUCGGAGGAGUUGAGCCACGCGGCUAGGGAACUCUGAAGCGGGCAUGCAACUCGAGUGCACCUGUCGCGGGAGAUCUGGGAAAAAGAUCUCAUGGGUCCACCGGUCAGUCUCGGUGGUCCACGACUCAGAUUGAAGGGAGGCGUUGCGGGAGGACUUAGAAAGAUCCGGCGGUGGGUUGGGGUCGGCGGGGUCGGAACUGGGGGAAACGGCAAGGGGUCGGAUUACAGGGGGUCGGGACCGAGCUGGAGGUUGAGCACUUAGACUUGGUAAACUGAGACAGGGGAUUAGGGACUCGUAUUAAGAUUAACGCGAAGGAUUUUUAUCCGAGGCCGUUACACCUGCGCUUGGGUGUUGAGGUAUGAGGAUGUGGUCCUCUGUUGUCUCUGCUGAUUUAGGUAUCCCUGCCCUCCUUUAUAUACUCCAGGCGGCAGGAUAACUAGUCGGUUACAAAGAGAAGUCCUAGUAGGAUUACGUGGUAUGAAUCCUAGUAGGAUUGCAUAGAAAUCCUAGUAGGAGUCCAUCUUUUUUUUUCCUAGCAGGUAUUGGGGAUCCAUCUCCGACACCGUGGAAUUCUUCUUAUACCACACCAUGAAGUACUUAAGGGAAUGGUACACGGUGGCCAAUAACCCAAUGGCCGAUAAUCACAACAUUUAUGGAUACAAGAUGACAGAGUACAUGGCGUACCAGAUGUCAGUGUUUUAUACCCGGCAACCUAUCGAGGGGUAUCCUAAGGUAGUAGAUUUGUUGGCGGGGGAUCGUCGGACCUAGAACUUGAAGGUAAAAGCGAGGACACGCGAUUUAGACAGGUUUGGGCCGCCAGAGUAGCGUAAUACCCUACGUCCUAUUUGGGGUGUUAUAUAUUGAGCAACGUUCAAACACACUACUAACACUUUGCAACUCGAAUCCAACGCUUGUAGUGGGAUUGUGUCUCCCUUUAAGAAAUAUCGUCGUGGAGGGAUGAACAAAAUGGGAUUCCACCUUGGAAUGAGCGUCCCAAAUGCCAUUGCGGCUUCCGUGCGUGGUUGCAAGUAUGGGAGGAUCGAGUACCUAGGGGGAAGAAGGGGUGUAGGUACUUUAAGUGUCCCGACAUUAACAAUGAUUUCAAGAUCAGUCCGUUCAUAAAUAUUUUAAAUAUUUUUUCUACGUAUCGGUACCUUGAACUAAUCUGGAAUGAACAUGCAGGUAUGCACAUUUAUGGAAUGGAUCGACACCAGGUCUUUAGGGGAGGUGCCCAUAAUCCCAGUGGUGCUAGAGACCAAAGCCUAAUACUAUGGUAGGCUUGAAGCGGCUCGAGACGCGGCACGUGCUGCUCGGCUCGAGCAAGAGCAACACAUCCGCCAACAACAGAUCCGUUUGAAGGGCAAGAAGGAUGAACUACAGAGGUGGCGCGACCAGUUAGGUGCUCGAGAGCCAGCACUUGAACGGCAGGAGGAAGAAUUCGAAGCUCGUCAGGCGUAACUCCUCCAGGAAGAAGAGCGACAUAAGAAGAUAAAGAAGCAGGAAAUAGAAUGUUCCUCCAAAACAACAAGGAAGGGGAAACUUCCCCGUUUCACCCAGUAGAACAUUAGUUGUGCUCCACCAAUUUACAUUACCUAAUCGGAUGUGAACUAGCUUGCUCUGCUUGCGGAGAAAAACCAACCAAGAGGCGAUGGAACCCUCAGAAAACUUCUAAUAUUGCCCCGGGCAGUACUGGCCAUAGACUUGAAAUUUAAGUAGAAGUGAUUUCUUCCUCAUUAGCUCCAUUUUUCUUAUCAUUUGCAUCUUGUGAUGAAUGAAGUGAACUUGAGCUCACCACCUUUUUUCAAAGCAAAGGCGCGCUGCGUUUAAUUAAAUAAUGGGCAAAUCGGGAGUUUGCAAGCUACGAACUUACUUGUGGUAGUGUAGAAGAAGGUCCGGAAUCAUUCGAGGCUCCUGGAAGUUACCAGCGAGUGCCGGAUGAAUUGAAGGCUCGACGACUCCCUCGAAUCCAGCAGGGUUAAGGGAGGCUACCCGAAGCUGCUGGAAGGCGAGAAUCGUUUAAUAAACAAUACGAUACGAUACGAUCUCAUUAGCAGGGUUAAGGCUAGAAUUUUUAUUUACCUUAUCGCUAGUGCAACCCAAAAUACAAUACGAUCUCAUGUACUCUUAGAAAAAUUAUAUGGUUGCAAAUAGACAACAGCUAGACUAGUGGUAGUAGUAGCAAAAGUAAUGGGUUGCUUUGAAUGAAGAAAAUAAUAUGAAGCUAGGCCUCGGGAGAUGGGAGUUAUUAAGAAGAGAACGGAUGACACAAUCACCACCACUGGCUUUACCCAAAUCCCCCCCUUUGCCCUCGAGAACCACUACAAGAAUACCGCAUCUUAUGAAAAAAAAAGAAGAUAAUUACCCACACCCCAAUCAUGAUUGAAUCGUUUCAUCAUAUCAUGUCUUGAAUGCUACGCUGGGAUCAGCAGCUUCCAGUGAAGACAAAAUGAGUCGGGCAGGAAGA
rnacentral:lncRNA from 1 species